rnacentral:rRNA from 1 species
GACGAACGCUGGCGGCGUGCUUAACACAUGCAAGUCGAACGGAAAGGCCCUGCUUGCCGGGUACUCGAGUGGCGAACGGGUGAGUAACACGUGGGUGAUCUGCCCUGCACUUCGGGAUAAGCUUGGGAAACUGGGUCUAAUACCGGAUAGGAGCCAUCUUUAGUGUGGUGGUUGGAAAGUUUUUUCGGUGUAGGAUGAGCUCGCGGCCUAUCAGCUUGUUGGUGGGGUAAUGGCCUACCAAGGCGGCGACGGGUAGCCGGCCUGAGAGGGUGUACGGCCACAUUGGGACUGAGAUACGGCCCAGACUCCUACGGGAGGCAGCAGUGGGGAAUAUUGCACAAUGGGCGCAAGCCUGAUGCAGCGACGCCGCGUGGGGGAUGAAGGCCUUCGGGUUGUAAACUCCUUUCGCUAGGGACGAAGCUUUUUGUGACGGUACCUAGAUAAGAAGCACCGGCUAACUACGUG